GGCCUGUCUCAGCAUGGCUGGGGGGUCCGUAGGGGACACGCGCCAGCCCUGUUGCCCCGUGGUGCCAUGUCUCCUCACAGCACCUGGGGAAACCUGGAAGAGCCGCUAAAAGGGCCUCAGUGAUUUUUAAUCAGCUCCCUCUGGGAAUGAAGAUCUGACUAAAAGUCAAGAGCUUUCAUGCCGGGGGCCACGGUGGAAACUUCCAGGGCCUCAAUGACCUGAUCUCCAAAGCCUAGGCCCCAAACUGGGAGGUGGAGAACUGGAGACAUACCCAUCAUGCCUGGAAUCUUGGCCCAUCAAAGUCCUGAACCUCCACCCCGGGGCUCCCAGAAAUCCCAGCCACAGUAAGAACAGCCAGGAGUCAGUGCAGCUCAUGAGACCCAGGACUGGCUUUCCCCAGGCUCUUCACGUGCGGCCUUUCCUGAGUCAUAUAAACUACAAAGUGAAACAGCAAGGAAAGGCAGGAAGGAGGACAGUCUCGGGGCGAGCAUUACACUGGAUCUUCCAGAGGGAGAGCAAGCAUAUGCUCACGAGAUCUAAACCUGUCCCAGGAACUGCAGGGAGCGAAGAGAAACCCGGCCUUCGCUUAUCUGAGGGUCCGGCCAGCCCCACCCCCUGGAGGCCCCCUGCC